rnacentral:rRNA from 1 species
CCACCCCUNUGUUUUGUUGCCCGCCNGUCANGGUGGGGACUCUAAACAGACUGCCUGUGCAAACAGAGAGGAAGGUGGGGACGACGUCAAGUCAUCAUGGCCCUUACGUCCGGGGCUACACACGUGCUACAAUGGAUGGUACAGCGGGCAGCUACAUAGCAAUAUGAUGCUAAUCUCUAAAAGCCAUUCACAGUUCGGAUUGGGGUCUGCAACUCGACCCCAUGAAGUUGGAUUCGCUAGUAAUCGCGUAUCAGCAAUGACGCGGUGAAUACGUUCCCGGGCCUUGUACACACCGCCCGUCAAGCCAUGAAAGUUGGGGGUACCUAAAGCAUGUUACCGCAAGGAGCG